AUUGAACGCUGGCGGCAGGCCUAACACAUGCAAGUCGAACGAGUGGCGGACGGGUGAGUAAUGUCUGGGAAACUGCCCGAUGGAGGGGGAUAACUACUGGAAACGGUAGCUAAUACCGCAUACCAUCAGAUGCGCCCAGAUGGGAUUAGCUAGUUGGUGGGGUAACGGCUCACCAAGGCGACGAUCGCUAGCUGGUCUGAGAGGAUGACCAGCCACGCUGGAACUGAGACACGGCCCAGACUCCUACGGGAGGCGGCAGGGGGGAUUAUUGCACAAUGGGCGCAAGCCUGCUGCAGCCCUGCCGCGUGUAUGAGGAAGGCCUUCGGGUUGUAAGGUACUUUCAGCGGGGAGGCGUUACCCGCAUAGAAAGCACCGGCUAACUCCGUGCCAGCAGCCGCGGUAAUAC
rnacentral:rRNA from 1 species